CCUACGGGGGCAGCAGUGGGGAAUAUUGGACAAUGGGCGAAAGCCUGAUCCAGCCAUGCCGCGUGUGUGAAGAAGGCCUUCGGGUUGUAAAGCACUUUCAGUGGGGAAGAAAGCCUUGGGGCUAAUACCCUCGAGGAAGGACAUCACCCACAGAAGAAGCACCGGCUAACUCCGUGCCAGCAGCCGCGGUAAUACGGAGGGUGCGAGCGUUAAUCGGAAUUACUGGGCGUAAAGCGCGCGUAGGCGGUCUGAUAAGCCGGUUGUGAAAGCCCCGGGCUCAACCUGGGAACGGCAUCCGGAACUGUCACGCUAGAGUGCAGGAGAGGAAGGUAGAAUUCCCGGUGUAGCGGUGAAAUGCGUAGAGAUCGGGAGGAAUACCAGUGGCGAAGGCGGCCUUCUGGACUGACACUGACGCUGAGGUGCGAAAGCGUGGGUAGCAAACAGGAUUAGAUACCCCAGUAGUC
rnacentral:rRNA from 1 species